rnacentral:lncRNA from 1 species
AUGCCCCAGCUGAGCCCACAUCCUGAGAAACCAGAAAUGAAGGUGCAGAUGGAAGAGAGAAAGUCGGCACAAGUGGAUGAGAAUUCCUCAGAGUGGAUGAGGUCGUGGCGAAGCAGGUGGAAUGGGAAAAGGUUAGCGGGAAGCUGCAACACCUGUCUGAAGUUGGUAAUGAUUGUGACCUCUCAGAAUAUCAUCACUUCCUGGGCUCAAGGUUGGCUGAAAGCCACUCACAUUGCUCAAGGCUGAGGAUGAAGGCGACCUCAUCAGUGUUCCCUGACUGUGUUUCCAUCAGCUGCAGAAAUGAAGAGGCAAGUUCAGUAAGACUUACAUGUUAUCCUGAUGUCCUUGGCUUUUUCUGAUAAGAGCUUUUCAACUUCACUAUUCUCUCCAUGCAUUAAGAUAAAUUCAAUACCAUGUGUAGUCCUAGUACUAUAGUAUUUGUUUUAUCUUCAAUUUUCAGAUAAAAUAGUGCAGCAGUAUUGAAAACAAUUUUUAUAUUUGAAUACCUAAUGAACAAUGUGUGACUGAUAUCCCAGUUUUCUUGAUGCUCCUAUGAUUGGUAAACAAUGGUUGUUCUCCUAAAACAAGAAUCAGCCAAUAUCCCUAUUGUGCUCCUCUUGUUGGCCUUAUCAGAUAUAAAAGCUCUACUGAGCUCCAGAGCUUAGAUCUGCAGCAGUUCAGCUCAUGCAGUGCGUUUGCUGCCCUGUGCUUAAAACACUGCUGGUUACACAGGGGACGCAGAGUUGGGCAUGGCAGCCCUUAGAGGAGCUUUGAGUAUUUCCACCAGGGUCACUAAGGACUGUCAGUACUGUCAGUGACAGCAUCUCUUGUGGACAGUGCUGUGAGCCCACCCUGGAGAAAGGGACGAGGACAGGGAGGGGUCACAGCCCUGGGCUCUCUACCUCCCGAAGAUUUAGGAUGAAAGGACCCUGGGGAAUCUCUCCAGGGAGUGUCCUACAGGUGAGGGUUCACACACACUUCGCAUGGCUCCCAUCCCUGAUUUCCUUUCACAGAUAAUGGUUAGAUUUAGCAACAUCAGGAGAAGCCUCUGAGACAUGGACUGCAGAGCCUCAGUUCAAGAUCCUGCUGAGAAAGUGAAGCAGGCAGGGGUCAGUGCGGGAUAGGGGUCCGUGUCAGUAUCAGGAGAGUGCAUUGGUGGCCUUCAGUGGUGGUGAUGACUCCUGGAAAGGCCUCUGUCCCCAGGAGUCCCGAUGACAGCGAUGCCAGAUGACUAAUAGAACCACUCCCUUCCUCUGACCUCACAGGAAGGUGAGUCCUUCGCCCAUUCAGCCUGCUGAGAAACAUGGCUGUGACUCGGGAAAGAAAGAAAACAGAUCCCAGUGUAAGUGACAAUGGAAAAAGCAGUUGUGUAUAAAAUGAGCAGAUGAUGAUAGAGAAAGGGACUUUGGUACCGCCAAGGAGCUGGCUCGGGUGAAUGUUGUGUGUUAGAAAAGGGUGUGUGGUACAGAUAUGAUCCACUAGGCACUAAAUUUGUAGCUGAGGGUCUGAAGUCAUCUGCACUAAGUUUAUCCUCUACUUUCUCACCAAUAUACUUCUCUCAUGGAGGCCUGGGAUUUCUUCAGAAUCUGAGGUCGUCUGAAAACCACUGGCAUCCCAUGGUGUAAUUGGAGGAUGGUGUGGGGUGAAGGUGGCCUCCUCAGGUGUUGGCCCAGUUCCCCUUCCUUCCCUUGAACAUGGAUGCUCUGUGGUCCAGGAUCACACCUGUUGCCCCCCGAAUCAGGAAGUCUAACCACUAACCUGCAAAGUGUUGGCCAUGCGAGCAGAGCAUCUCUGCAGAAGGUGCAGGCUCACGAUACCUAGGUGGGAAUGGGUGCUGAGAAAGUAUGGGUGCUGAAAAAGCCGCCCUCCUCAACCUCAGCCUUGGUGUCACUGGGCCCCAUGACACAUGUGUGCUGUGGCUCAUCACCAACCAGGCUCCUGGCCGUGACUUACCGCGUUGUGCUCAUGGGAUUCAGCCGGUCAGCAGCUCUGGGUUAGCUACCACAUGUCUAUCAGUGGUGUCCAGUAACAGCUUCUGAUGGGCCAUGUUUUGUUCCAGUCUGCAGUGAACUAAAUGCAGACAUACAAAUACCAUUCUGUUUACUUGUCUUCCCCAAACCGAAACUCCCAAGUAUUCAAGGUUUGGUACUGAACUAUUUUUAAUCACGUUGACAGCUGGGAAAAGUUCUUGUGGGGCUAAGAUGUAAUCCAGAAAUCACAAUUUAGUGGCAUUAAAAAAGACAACCACAAAAAGCAACCCAAUCUAGAGGAGGAGGCUAAGUGGUAGUGACAUCAAACUCAGCUAUGGGAAAAGCCAACAGUUUUCCCAUGAAGAGAGAAGCCGCCAACAUAAAAAGGACAUCUAGUAGCCAGGAUAAUAUUGAUGAAUACAAAAAAUUAAAGCCUUACUAAUUUAGUAAUGUCUCUGUGUCAUGUGAUGCUCUUUGUUCUACACAUUUCAUGGGUUUAGAAAUAAUGGAUGAUGCCGGGCAUGGUGGCACACGGCUGUAAUCCCAGCACUCGGGAGGCUGGCUGAGGCAGGAGGAUCUCCAUGAGUUUGAGGCUGGCUUGGGCUACGUAGCUAACCUGGAGGGGGUGAAUAUUCAGAGAAAAAAAGUCCUGAUAGUUUGACAUGUUUACAUUUCCUUAGCUUUACAGUUUGGAUGUCAACAAAACCCUCAAGAAUUGUUUUAAUGAUAAAGAAAGGACAAAGUCACUUCCAGACCACCCUAAGGAAACUGUAAACUGUUGGGAAACAAUUUGUGUUUUGAUGGUGUUAGACAUGAGAAGUGUGAACUCUUUUGAGAAAUAUGCCUACUUUGUUGGGGAAAGUGGUUGUUGGGAUGAGCCCGAGGGUGCACAGCCUUUGGGGAUGGUGGAUGAGUGGGAGCUCUUCAUAUGACGGUGAGGACUUUCUGAAGCCACCGGGGGCCCUUGUGUAUGAGCACAGCCUGGACAACUGGAAGGGAGGGGCUCCUUGGAAUUCCAUGACCUCCCCACCUUCUAAUCCUCUGCCUUAACUGUCAGCCGUUGCCAGGCACACUGGGCCAUAACUGCCUCACUCGUGUCUAGUCUGAGCCACAGGCAGUACCUUCAGCUCUGACCUCGGAUUCUGGAUACUUGUUUUUACAGUGAAAUUCUCAAGUGUUGUGAGGUGUUGAUCAAUUUGUUCCCAACAGUGAGUUCAUCAGUGUAGUUAUUGUCCUCCUUCAUUCCUGAUCCAACCUGUUUGAUUUCCUUUUGUUUUUUGUUGUUUUUUGAGACAGGAUCUUGCUAUGUAGUUCAGGUUGGAUGUGAACUCACUACAUAGUCCAGGCUACCCUUGAACUCACAGCAAUCCUCCUGCCUCAGCCUCCCAAGUGCUGGGAUUACACAAAGUGUCAACAUGCCCAGCUUGAUUUCCUUUGAUUUUAACCCAGGUUGUGUUUGGAUUUCUUCUCCACAGUCCUUGGAUGUACAUCUACUGCUACCAAGGUCACCAGGGCAGUACCACUCAGCCCCAAUCCAGGGGCUGAAGUGAAUGUUGUGGAGUUCAAGGAGUAUAAGUGUUCUUGGGUGGGAGAGAAUGAACUGCAGUUUGAAGACCGAAGAUCAAGUUCUGUUAGACCUGAAGCAGCUCUCGGCUCCCUGGACACCAAAGUGCAGAAACAUGGUGAGUUGUGUAGGUUCACAGUGAGCAGGAUGAUAAAUGGUUCUGUUUUCUCUCCACACAUGAAAAAUAGUCUCCAAAAGUGAUUCUUUUCUUCACUUUAUAGAAAUUAAUUUACCUUCCCAUAUUUGUAGAAAGGUAGAAGUUGGUAUCUUGCCCUUCAUCUGGAUGGAAAAAACUGGGGCUCAAAGCAUUUACCAGUGUUUCCCAGUUCAGAGUGAGGAGUGGGGUGGGACCCAGGUAAAAAUCCCAGUUACCCAUUCCUGUUGAAGGCAGGGAAUGCUGUGCUUUUCUCAAGAAUGGGUCAGGCCAUUUUGGUGAGGACCCUCUGUGUCCCCUCUCAGAUCCUCCAGAUGUGUAGCAUUACUCUUGGCCUACUGUUCUGGGACCAGGGCCCUCGCCUUGCCCUGAAGCUUCUGUGGAGUCUGAGUGGGCACGGCACCUGCUGGUUAUGUCAGGGAAAGCUGGGGGCAACAGGUUUCAGAGGAGCUUGGGGGGAUUCUGCUCCUAACUGAACCUAUGGCAGCCACCCUUGUUGCCAUGGAGACCAGGGACUUGAAUGGCAUUGGGGAAGACCUGCUUCGUGGGGCACAGGCUCUUAGGUGUCCAGGAGAGCCGUGCCUGUCAGUGGAGGGUGUGUCUGGGACGGCAGAAUGUGGCACCUGUCUGUCUCUCCAAGG